rnacentral:lncRNA from 1 species
GGAAACCUCUUGGGCGGGCCAGUGUCAGUGGGUGACUGACUGACAGAUGACCACGUAUGCCUCGGACAGAAAUUUCUUUUAGAGAGAGGGAGAGGGGGAGAGAGAGAGAGAGAGAGAGAGUAUUGACUGGUGCCCACGGGCACACGAAAGGGAGACGGGAAAGAGUUUGACCGGCUGCCGAAGACGGGGAGAUGAUGAUGGACUGGUCGUCCGAGAUCUCGGCACCGAUCGAUCCACCGUGCUGGAAUUUUGAAUUCUCCUUCGAGAGCGCCGUGGAGAAGAGGAACCAAGACGUCAUUUGCUUAAGACUUUAUCCGUUUUAUCAUCAGUACUGUGGUUGCCGUUGCUCUACUGAACACAGUAUAAGAGCGCUCCUCGUGGAUAUGGGAAUGUUUGAGUUUCACGCCCAGAAUUUUGGUAAUGAAUAAUGUGUUUUCGAAAUUUUCACCCACUCACGGUAUGCAAUCUACUGAAACGUUCCUAGCCAUCCACCGAAAGAAGAAAAAAGUGUUACAGCCUGGAGCCAGGGCGGCUUUACCGGCCGAAACCUACUCCUUUUCCGAUGGAUUUUUAUUGCUUCGGCAAACGCUCAUGGAAUUCUACGAUUCUCAGAGGAUGGUAACGCAUUUUGCAGGGGUUGUUUCUGAUGGGGGGCUUUACAGAUGUACUAGUACUUAGCAUGAUGCAUAAUGCAUAUCAUUGGGGUAACGCUCGUGUCUGCUGGUGCUGUUCUAGCGUUAGUGUCUGCCGAAAAAGGUGGAGGUCCGGUGCGGACUUUGCCUUUUCGCAUUUUUCUUCGUCCAUGUAGAAACUUCCCGCAUGCCGAUCAAAUUGGUUUUUUUCCUGGUGCCAUGCAUAAGAACUCCCUAUGCAAUGAUAGAAGUGGCUUUCCAUUGCUCACGCAGUUUCUCCUUGUGCAUCGGUCCAGAUGGUCUUCUAUUAGCAUGCACAACAAAAAAUUUGUUUCUGGCGAUCCAACUAGCUUUCCGUUGGC